rnacentral:rRNA from 1 species
CGCGAAUUCGCCCUUCGGGGUGCAGCAGGCGCGAAAACUUUACAAUGCGGGAAACCGUGAUAAGGGGACACCGAGUGCCAGCAUCAUAUGCUGGCUGUCCGGGUGUGUAAAAUACACCCGUUAGCAAGGGCCGGGCAAGACCGGUGCCAGCCGCCGCGGUAACACCGGCGGCCCGAGUGGUGAUCGUGAUUAUUGGGUCUAAAGGGUCCGUAGCCGGUUUGGUCAGUCCUCCGGGAAAUCUGACGGCUUAACCGUUAGGCUUUCGGGGGAUACUGCCAGGCUUGGAACCGGGAGAGGUAAGAGGUACUACAGGGGUAGGAGUGAAAUCUUGUAAUCCCUGUGAGACCACCUGUGGCGAAGGCGUCUUACCAGAACGGGUUCGACGGUGAGGGACGAAAGCUGGGGGCACGAACCGGAUUAGAUACCCGGGUAGUCCCAGCCGUAAACGAUGCUCGCUAGGUGUCAGGCAUGGCGCGACCGUGUCUGGUGCCGCAGGGAAGCCGUGAAGCGAGCCACCUGGGAAGUACGGCCGCAAGGCUGAAACUUAAAGGAAUUGGCGGGGGAGCAC